rnacentral:rRNA from 1 species
UAAUGGCUCACCAAGGCGACGACGGGUAGCCGGCCUGAGAGGGUGACCGGCCACACUGGGACUGAGACACGGCCCAGACUCCUACGGGAGGCAGCAGUGGGGAAUAUUGCACAAUGGGCGAAAGCCUGAUGCAGCGACGCCGCGUGAGGGAUGACGGCCUUCGGGUUGUAAACCUCUUUCAGUAGGGAAGAAGCGAAAGUGACGGUACCUGCAGAAGAAGCGCCGGCUAACUACGUGCCAGCAGCCGCGGUAAUACGUAGGGCGCAAGCGUUAUCCGGAAUUAUUGGGCGUAAAGAGCUCGUAGGCGGUUUGUCGCGUCUGCCGUGAAAGUCCGGGGCUCAACUCCGGAUCUGCGGUGGGUACGGGCAGACUAGAGUGAUGUAGGGGAGACUGGAAUUCCUGGUGUAGCGGUGAAAUGCGCAGAUAUCAGGAGGAACACCGAUGGCGAAGGCAGGUCUCUGGGCAUUAACUGACGCUGAGGAGCGAAAGCAUGGGGAGCGAACAGGAUUAGAUACCCUGGUAGUCCAUGCCGUAAACGUUGGGCACUAGGUGUGGGGGACAUUCCACGUUUUCCGCGCCGUAGCUAACGCAUUAAGUGCCCCGCCUGGGGAGUACGGCCGCAAGGCUAAAACUCAAAGGAAUUGACGGGGGCCCGCACAAGCGGCGGAGCAUGCGGAUUAAUUCGAUGCAACGCGAAGAACCUUACCAAGGCUUGACAUGAACCGGAAACACCUGGAAACAGGUGCCCCGCUUGCGGUCGGUUUACAGGUGGGUGCAUGGUUGUCGUCAGCUCGUGUCGUGAGAUGUUGGGUUAAGUCCCGCAACGAGCGCAACCCUCGUUCUAUGUUGCCAGCGCGUGAUGGCGGGGACUCAUAGGAGACUGCCGGGGUCAACUCGGAGGAAGGUGGGGACGACGUCAAAUCAUCAUGCCCCUUAUGUCUUGGGCUUCACGCAUGCUACAAUGGCCGGUACAAAGGGUUGCGAUACUGUGAGGUGGAGCUAAUCCCAAAAAGCCGGUCUCAGUUCGGAUUGGGGUCUGCAACUCGACCCCA